CUACUGAGGUGAAGGUCCAACAGAUUAGUCACAUGACCGGGUCGAAGACGGACCUUCAGAGAGGGUGACCCCGAAUCUUCACCGCAUCCUGAACGACAGUUUUUUUCCUCUCAGCUCCAUUUUGUGGUCGAUUACAGACGCAGGAACCAGGAGAACUCACGAGAACUCACGAGAACCCGCAGACUGACGUUCAAUCACAUGAUAACGAGUCGUCUCUCUAAAGACGGUUCCACGAAUCUGUCCUGGUUUGGGGGAUGAGGACUAGUGGUGCAGUUCUCCUGGAGUCCUGUUCUGGGUCUUGUUGUGGAAACUGUCCCUGCAGCGCCUCGUGCCGGCACCUCUCCGAUCUGGGUCAUUUUCUAAAUAUACCGCUGCUCCGGUCCUCCCUGCAGAGACGGCCCUGCUGCCUGAGGGGGGACCGUUUGAGCCUCCUGGUUCUGGUCCAGCAUCCUCCCAUGAACCGCACGUGUCUGUCAUGUGACGGCGCUCUAUAGAUAGAUCUGCAGAGAACCCGAAAUAAUCUGGACAAGAUACAGAAACAAAGUCCAAGAGAGACGAGCAGACGGGGAAGAUGGAGGAGAAGAGGACGGAGAAACCGGAUCAACGAAGUUCUCCAGGAGACCGACAGAGUUCAGAGAGUCCAGGGGGACGGGUUCUACGACAUCUGGGGGUUUCAGACAAUCAUCAAAACAGACUGACAGACUUUACACGACGAGUCUACGUGAUAUUAUCGUCAUCAACUACCUGCUGUGUGUGUCUCUGUAGUUCACACUCAGUCCGUUUCCAUGACAACUGAGAAAACCGAAUUAUCGCCUUAUUCCGAUAAAGACCGGACAACUGAAGGUCAUGUAAACACCUUAGUCCGACUAUAAUCAGAGUUUGAGAACUCUGAUUAAGACACACAGAUAAUGAGAUUGGAAUUAGAUUUUCUCUACCAUGUAACCAGCGUAGUCGGAGUAUGAUCGGAUACAGGCCACGCCCCCGUAACCCUGUAACAAAAACCCAGAGUAGAGGAGUAGCGUUUGUCCCAUCAGCAGAAAAGUAGCGCGUCCAUGUUUACGCCAAGAAGUCCGAUCCAGCAAAAAUAAAAGAAUUAUGAGUUUAAUCCGAUUAAACUGUGGCUGUAAACGUCCUGACUGACUGGUUAUUUAGACGGCGAGCGUCCGACAUCGACACGUUGAAUAACACGGGUCUCUAAUGAUGUAAACAUGAAUGAAAUCGUCGUUCCCGCCUUCAGAUUCUUGUCUUCAGCGAAAACAUGAAGAGCUGGUCGGAGUUCGUCUGAAUGAAUUCGAUCGUUAGACGACGAUCUUCAUCGUGGUCGACAUCGAAGACAGGAUGUAAACCUGCGAGCCGCUGAAACGCCGACUCUGAAGAGGAAGUCUGUAAAACUCUUAGAUCAGCUGUUGAAGGUGAGGUCCAACUUUAUCGACGAUAUCAGAACAUUUACUGUUCAGCAGAAGAACGGACUCUUCUGCUCCUCAGGACCUUCACCAUGAAGGUCCAAACCUUCAAAAUAACGCUGAGCCAGAACCAGACCGUUUAGACCAGACUGGGACCGGCUCUUCUGAUCAGACCAAGGUCCAGCUGUCUGGUCCAGACCAGGAUCCAGAGGAGGUUUCACAGCAAUCAUUGUGGAUCUGACCGAACAGAACAGUCCGGACCAAAGGACGUCAGACCGACCCGGACCAGAGAGACCGCCAUUAAUCAGCCGUCAGAGGAACCAGAGACGAGGUGGAGGCUCUGGAGGUCAUGGCAACACACACACACACGCACGCACGCACGCACGCACGCACGCACACACACACACACACACACACACACACACACACACACACACACUGACAGGUCUCAGAGUGUGUUCAUGAGUUUAUCACGUUCAGCCCGCAGACAAUAAAUGAAGUGAUCAAUCACAGAGGAGAACAUCUGUGGAGCAACCACUCCAUCAGACAGCAGCUUCAUCAGCACCUCCACACCAAGAGGAGGAGGAGGAGGAGAGAGAGGAGGUGAAGAAGAGAAACCAACUGUACACCUGAGAGGAGGAGGAGGAGGAGGUGAAGAAGAGAAACCAACUGUACACCUGAGAGGAGGAGGAGGAGGAGGAGGAGGAGGAGGUGCUAACUCGGAGUCUGUCCUCCAUGGUGUUUUACAGUCAUUAGUAACAGGCUGGAGAGGAGGAGGAAACAUCUGUGCGACACCAUCUUCAUCCCUCAGCAGGAGGAGGAGGAGGAGGAGGAGGAGGAGGUGAUGAAGACGGUUUGUAAAAGAAGGUUCUGGAAGAUUUGGUCCGUCUGAGUCCUGACAGGACCUCUCUGGUCCAAGUCCAGACUUCUUCAUCUGGGUUGGACUCUGGGGGUGGGGGGUUAGUUAAUCCAGAUUAUGGUCAUGGAUGAUACGUCUCUGUUUUCUCGCUCUGAUUACAGGAACAGCACCCCCCCCCCCAUCACGUGUUAUUCGGUUACGGCGCCGUUAACUCACUUAGAGUCGGCGGUCUAUGAGGAGGACGUCCCUCAGGCGGGUUUAACUGAGUUAGGGAGCGUCUGAGAAGAGUGGAGCACUAACUCAGGGAGCGUCUGCAUUUUUACACACAUGAUAAACAGAUUAGGGCUCGUCUCUGAGGGGUCGACUGUGUUUAAUGAGUCAGAGAGACUCCGCCCCCUUCACCACGCCGAGGAGGAGGAGAAACUGAAACUGAGUCUCAGUGUGAGGAGGACCUGACCUCAGACCUCCACAUGCACUUUUCUUCUUCCACACCUGAGCGCUCCUCUCAGCUCACCUUUUAGUACCGAGGCCUGCAGAUGUUUGGUUCUGACCCGAGGGCGGCAGGGAAACCGGCGGCGAGCGAGGAGUCAAACGGAGUGAAGAGGAUCAUGACUGCGAGGUGAGAGCGCCGACAGGAGCUGAGAGUCAAACACUCCGACUGCAGAGAGAAAACUGUUCCUCAUGGAGACUAGAAACAUCUCCAUGAACGUCUAACCCCCAAAAAUUUCACCACAUCCAGAGCGGCGGCGAUUUUCACCGACCGCCAAUUCCUGCAGGAUCCGGCCUGCAUGUGAGUCUGUGUGAAAGGGAUGAUGAACAAGUCGUGCUGAGAGGCUGAAACUCACUUCUAUAAAUACUACACACACACACACACACACACACACACACACACACACACACACACACACACACAGGAGCUGUAUAAUGGGCUUGGUUAGGCAGCAUAUUGAAAAUGCCACGGCAAUGUCUCAGAAGCUAAAUCAGCCGGUGUGUGUGUGUGUGUGUGUGUGUGUGUGUGUGUGUGUGUGUGUGUGUGUGUGUGUGUGUGUGUGUUUGUGUGUGUGUGUGUGUGUGUGUGUAUGUGUGUGUGUGUGUGUGUGUGUGUUAGUGUGUGUGUUUGUGUGUGUGUGUGUGUGUGUGUGUGUGUGUGUGUGUGUGUGUGUGUGUGAAAUAUGAACAGGUAAGCAGUAUGCAGAUCAGCUGUGACUGUAAAACACCCUCACUGAGGUGGGGGGGGGGGGCAGAUCCCAUUUCAGUCUCCAUGGUAACCACUCCUCAUCCUCCAUCCUCAUGCUGGAGUAAUGUGUGCGGCUCCCC